CACGAACGACCCGGUCAGGAUGCGCAUGAACCCGGCCAGACAGAUGAGCUCCACCCUGGCGGCCUUGAGCUCUGUGGUGAUCGCUGCCUCAAACUCCUCCCGGGUCUUGUAGUUCUUGUGAGGAACCACCUGAGGAGAGGGUGUGAGAUCGCAGAAGUCGGUACACCCCUCACCUUGGUCGCCACGCCCGCCUUCUGAGCCCUCUCCAGGCCCCUCACACCAGCCACGUUGCUCACCACCAGCACUAUCUCCGCCGCACUCAGCCCGCCCUUCGUGUGGUCCAGCAAAGCCUGAAACAUAUGUCUUUUUGUAAUAGUAUUCAGAUUUUAACCUCCAAUAAAAAAUAUGCUCUUGUGA